UACGGAGGGUGCUAGCGUUGUUCGGAAUUACUGGGCGUAAAGCGCGCGUAGGCGGUCUUGCAAGUCGGGGGUGAAAGCCCGAGGCUCAACCUCGGAACUGCCUUCGAUACUGCGGGUCUCGAGUCCGGGAGAGGUGAGUGGAAUUCCUAGUGUAGAGGUGAAAUUCGUAGAUAUUAGGAAGAACACCAGUGGCGAAGGCGGCUCACUGGCCCGGUACUGACGCUGAGGCGCGAAAGCGUGGGGAGCAAACAGG
rnacentral:rRNA from 1 species